rnacentral:tRNA from 1 species
GACUCAGUGGUCCGAUGGUAAAGCGCUCGUCACGGAGCAAGAGGAUCCUGGGUUCGAUCCCCAACAGGGUCG